rnacentral:rRNA from 1 species
UGCCCAGACUCCUACGGGAGGCAGCAGUCGGGAAUAUUGCGCAAUGGAGGAAACUCUGACGCAGUGACGCCGCGUAUAGGAAGAAGGUUUUCGGAUUGUAAACUAUUGUCGUGAGGGAAGAAAUUGACAGUACCUCAGGAGGAAGCUCCGGCUAACUAUGUGCCAGCAGCCGCGGUAAUACAUAGGGAGCAAGCGUUAUCCGGAUUUACUGGGUGUAAAGGGAGCGUAGACGGCGUGCCAAGUCUGAUGUGAAAGGCCGGGGCUCAACCCCGGGACUGCAUUGGAAACUGGCAUGCUGGAGUGCCGGAGGGGCAAGCGGAAUUCCUAGUGUAGCGGUGAAAUGCGUAGAUAUUAGGAGGAACACCGGUGGCGAAGGCGGCUUGCUGGACGGUAACUGACGUUGAGGCUCGAAAGCGUGGGGAGCAAACAGGAUUAGAUACCCUGGUA